UCAAUACUAGAUAAUAUAAUAUUAAUACUUACUCUUUCUUCUUCACUUAUAAAGGUUCUAUUAAGGUGGUAAGACACCAAGAAAUGUUUUUUGGAAUAUGUUCCAAAACAAAAGGAGUAUAAAAGACACUGACAAACAACAAGCGUUAUAUUUGUUUUCAAAGAAGUCUUAAGGAAACUGAAAAUGAGUUACUUGUGUCCAUCAAAUUCCUUAUUGGUUUAGCUCCCUUGUUUGAGAAAUACUUGACAAAAUUUCAAGAUGAAGGACCACUUGUUCAUAUUUUAUUUUAUAAAGUGAAAAAUCUUUUAAUAUCUUUAAUGAAACAUUUUCUUUAGCCAACUGCAGUUAAUGGAAAGUUUACCAAAGAUCUUUUAAAAACUGAUUCUUCCGAUUCAACUAUCCACCUUGAUUUGAAUAAAAUGGACUUUGGCGAGGAAGCUAAAAACCAGGUGAACAAAAUAUCAUGUGAAAAAAAAAGAUGUCUGCUUACAGUAAAUAAGAGAUAUAUCUGUAAUGGAUAUAUAUCUGUUGUAAAACACUUGCAAAAAAAACUUUCACUUGAUUCGCAGAUAUUAAAAGAUAUGACUUGUUUGGGUGCUCAAAUGAGAUCAGAACUUUGGACUGUUAAUGCAAUUGGGAAAAUAGCAGUUUUGAUGCCACAUGUAAUUACGG